UCCUGAAAGGGCUGUAGAGCUGUGCUGAGAGAUGCUGUGGGAAGAACUCUGUGUGAAGAGUAAUGGUUGACCAUGGCAAGCAGUCUGGAAACUUGGAUCGACCACAAGGACUGAAUAAUGCUCCCAAAGAAAUACAUUUGGAUGAAGAUGACUGAACAUGCAGAUCCAAAGGCCUUUUAGGAUAUGGUGAACCUUUGGCCUUGGAUGAAGAAUGUUCUUGGAUGAAAGAGCUCCAGCUGAAAGACUUUGUCUUUGCCUUUUGCCUUGAGAAUUGUAAAGAUAUGAAAGACAUGAAAGGAAACAGAGAUUUGCAGUUGAAUUCUUGCAGGGUGCAGUUACAGUGGCUGACACUGGCACGCAGCCAGCCUGCCUCAUUUCUGUGGAAUGUCACAUGCGUGUACCCUUUACCAGUCUCCUAGAGCUCCCUAAAAGCCUCUCAUGGGUUUAUUUUUUUUAUGCUUUCUCUUUGCUAAUUAUAUUAGCAAAUUUUAAUUGCGUGGUUUCUGUAGUGAAAUUGGCACCCCUGGGAUUUAUGUGUAUUGUGUGUAGCUGAAGAUAAAUGCAGAAAAUACUUACAUUUGGUUCAUCAGCUUAGAAUGCUUGUACCUGCAGCUGAGCAGGUUGUUAAGUAAUAAUAUUUGGUUUUCUUCAUGGUUAAUGACUUCCCAAGUUUAAAACGGCAAGGGUUCACUGACUGAGAUGGUGAACUUGACAUUCACAAUGUGGUCAGCCAUGGCUAUCUGGGUAUCCAAAUGGAUUUCCUACUCUGACAUAUUGAACUGUGUUAAGUCAGUAGGAAGACAUCUAGUGACUUUUAAAAUUUCCUUACUAAAUGUUCAAUAUACUUGAAACUCGAUUAUACAUUGAACUGUUUCACUUCUUGAAGUGUCCUUAUUUUCACUUUAUAAUAAAAUGCAGCUCAGCUAGACUGAUUCUGUUUAGUAUCUUAGAAUAUGAUUCAAACCACAGAUUUAAUGUAGCAGAGUUUGCUAAGGUUGACCUUCAAAGCAUGUCUGUAUAUGAGCAUGUUACCUAACAUGUUUGUUACUGAAGCAAAUCUGCUCAUGUGUUAAGCGAUGAUUACAUAGGGAAAAUGCUGUACCAAAGUUAAAGGGCUUGUUUUGCCUUUGUCUCUCCUCAAAUUAAUACACCUGGAGAGAGAUGUAGUGGUUUUCACUGCCCUGGGUAGAGUUCUGUAGUAGAAUUUCAUACCAACUCCUGUACCAUAGUACCUUUUGCAUCAGUUGGGCUUGCUUAGGUCUGCCAGGAUUCAGGCUUUUACACUCUCUCCUUUCUAAAAUGUGGCCUGUAGCAUAUGGAGUCACCAGGCAAACUUCCCAAAGGACAGACCUGAACAAAAACUAUGUGUCUAAACAAAAAAUAUAUCCUCCACGAGGGUAGCUUAGCUGAGCCUAGCCUUAUCAGACGAGGACAUACUAGUUCACUUCUCAAAAAUGCCCAAUGCAACUUAAGUUUUUCUUCAAAAGCUAUUUCUUCUUGCCCUCCUGCCCUGUCUAGCUUUACAAGCAGUUCUAGAAGCUGGUUUUAAUCAAGAAGCAGACUUUCCUAGACAAUAAUAUGGGUACUGUCUUAGCAAUCCUUAGCUUUUGACCUGAAGAACUGGGAAAGAAUAACCUAUCUUCAGUCGGUGAUUCUUGCUCGCUUUUCUCCUCACAUCUUACUGUGUCUCUUCCUCUCCACUCAUCUGAUCUGAACAUAACAUUGUGCAUGACUAUUGCAGGUGUCAGUUACUGCAGAGUCUUUCUGCUGGUUUGGCUAAUACACAAUAAUUGAUACUGAGGUACCUAUGUAUGUGUUGUGUGUGCAAGAUGUUAAUAAAACUUGCUACCAACUUGUAAAUAUGCAUUGGAAUGUGUGUAUACACAAAGAAAGCUAUGGCUAGAAUGUCAGAUAUCUAGAUGCUGGACAAUUACUCCAUUGUUUACCAUUGACUAUUAAUGUGCUGGUGCUGUUUUGUUACUGCCCUAAUAAAAGAAAAUUUGCCAAUGCUUUGA